rnacentral:rRNA from 1 species
GACGAACGCUGGCGGCGUGCUUAACACAUGCAAGUCGAACGGAAAGGCCCUGCUUGCCGGGUGCUCGAGUGGCGAACGGGUGAGUAACACGUGGGUGAUCUGCCCCUUACUUUGGGAUAAGCCUGGGAAACUGGGUCUAAUACUGGAUAGGACCAUGCUGUAGGUGGUGUGGUGGAAAGAUUUUUUCGGUAAGGGAUGAGCUCGCGGCCUAUCAGCUUGUUGGUGGGGUAAUGGCCUACCAAGGCGUCGACGGGUAGCCGGCCUGAGAGGGUGGACGGCCACAUUGGGACUGAGAUACGGCCCAGACUCCUACGGGAGGCAGCAGUGGGGAAUAUUGCACAAUGGACGAAAGCCUGAUGCAGCAACGCCGCGUGAGGGACGACGGCCUUCGGGUUGUAAACCUCUUUUAGCAGGGAAGAAGCGAAAGUGACGGUACCUGCAGAAAAAGCGCCGGCUAACUACGUG